ACCUUAUUUACUCCAACAUGAUCCCCUUUUUUUUCUCCAUUAUCUCCUCCACAUGUUUGCCAUAUGAAAUAAUUCAUUGUACCUAGACAAUAUUUUCACCUAUUGAACCAUUUUUUCCAUAGCUCCUCCCAUUCUCUUCAUUUUUUUCUCCUUUUGAUUUAGCCAUCAACCACCAUUUGUUCUAAUUUUCUCCUCUCUUCCAACACUUUGUGCCUUGAACCACCAUUGUCACCGUCGAACCUCCUCCUUGUCACCACUACUAUUCUCCUUUUGCUCCACCGCCACCCUAGCACAAUCAUAGCUGCCACUUUUGCGCACCACCAUAGAAAACAACCUCAUUUCUUUCUAUUUUCUUCCCUUCCUCUAAUUCUUCUUGUUCCCUUUUCCUUCUUCCCUUAUUUCAUCUUGUGCAUCAACCUUCUCUUUCUUCUACUCUUUCAUCAAGUUUUUGUUGGACUGCUAUUGCCGCUGUCGUCGUGCCACUGUGCCUCUACCGGUUUCGAUGACCUUUCUAUUUUUUCAUUAUUUUUGAAACUCUUUCAUCCUAUUUAGUACUUGAAAUCCUAUAUCUCUAUUUUCCUUUAGUUUUAAAUUAUUUUAUUUAAUUUAAAUGUUGUAUCUUGACUCACUCUUUCAAGUGAUUUUUCACGAGACUCUUUCUCUUCUCUAACUCGACACUCCAGUGAUCCAACACCCCUUCCCAUUCAAUUGAGUUAGGUGAGUAUGCAAGUUUUCACUAGACUAUUUUUGUUGAAGGGUCGAUCAGUACCAACCUGGAGAGUUUCUAAAAUUGGGAACAAGAUCACAUUGCGAUUAACUUUUUAAGGUUGAGUAUUAAUCAGAGUAUCAUUAGAUGGCCAUAUGCCAUAAAAUAGUUAAAACGACCCCCUAAUUGUAAGAUCGCUUUUGUUGAUAAGUAGGUAACUUAUUGAGUAGAACCAAGUGUGGGCGUUCUUAAGGUGGAG
rnacentral:lncRNA from 1 species